UCAAGUGAAUAAGUGCAUGUGGUGGAUGCCUUGGCGAUUACAGGCGAUGAAGGACGUUGUAGCCUGCGAUAAGCCGCGGGGAGCUGGCAAACAAGCUUUGAUCCGCGGAUGUCCGAAUGGGGAAACCCACCCGCAAGGGUAUCGCUGACUGAAUCCAUAGGUCAGCGAGGCGAACGUGGCGAACUGAAACAUCUAAGUAGCCACAGGAAAAGAAAUCAACCGAGAUUCCGAAAGUAGUGGCGAGCGAAAUCGGAGCAGCCUGUGCGUGAUAGUCGAUUGGCUAGUGGAACGGUAUGGAAAGGCCGGCCAUAGAGGGUGAUAGCCCCUUACACGAAAGCGAAUCGGUGGUACUGAGCGUACGACAAGUAGGGCGGGACACGUGUAAUCCUGUCUGAAGAUGGGGGGACCAUCCUCCAAGGCUAAAUACUCGUAAUCGACCGAUAGUGAACAAGUACUGUGAAGGAAAGGCGAAAAGAACCCCGGGAGGGGAGUGAAAUAGAUCCUGAAACCGCAUGCAUACAAACAGUCGGAGCCUCGCAAGGGGUGACGGCGUACCUUUUGUAUAAUGGGUCAGCGACUUACGUUCAGUGGCAAGCUUAACCAGAUAGGGGAGGCGCAGGGAAACCGAGUCCGAAUAGGGCGCCAUAGUCGCUGGGCGUAGACCCGAAACCAGGUGAUCUAUCCAUGGUCAGGAUGAAGGUUGGGUAACACCAGCUGGAGGUCCGAACCGACUAAUGUUGCAAAAUUAGCGGAUGAACUGUGGAUAGGGGUGAAAGGCUAAUCAAACCUGGAAAUAGCUGGUUCUCCCCGAAAACUAUUUAGGUAGUGCGUCAUGUAUUGCUCCAGGGGGUAGAGCACUGUAAUGGUUGUGGGGGCCAUCGCGGCUUACCACGCCAUAGCAAACUCCGAAUACCUGGAAGUAUGAGCAUGGCAGACAGUCGCCGGGUGCUAACGUCCGGCGGCAAGAGGGAAACAACCCAGACCUACAGCUAAGGUCCCAAAGUGUGGCUAAGUGGGAAACGAAGUGGGAAGGCUAAAACAGUCAGGAUGUUGGCUUAGAAGCAGCCAUCAUUUAAAGAAAGCGUAAUAGCUCACUGAUCGAGUCGUCCUGCGCGGAAGAUGUAACGGGGCUAAGCCAUGCACCGAAGCUUAGGCUGCACUCUCUGAGUGCGGGGUAGGGGAGCGUUCUGUAAGCCUGUGAAGGUGUCUCGUAAGGGAUGCUGGAGGUAUCAGAAGUGCGAAUGCUGACAUGAGUAGCGUUAAAGCGGGUGAAAAGCCCGCUCGCCGUAAGCGCAAGGUUUCCUACGCAACGUUCAUCGGCGUAGGGUGAGUCGGCCCCUAAGGUGAGGGCGAAAGCCAUAGCUGAUGGGAAGCUGGUUAAUAUUCCAGCACCGAUUUCUAGUGCGAUGGGGGGACGGAUCGUGGAAGGUUGUCCGGGGGUUGGAAGUCCCGGUUCCUGACCUGUAGGUGUCUGGUAGGUAAAUCCGCCAGGCGUAUGCCGAGGGGUUGGGACGAGCGAGCUUGCUCGCGAAGCAACUGGAAGUGGUUCCAAGAAAAGCCUCUAAGCUUCAGCUAGAAACGACCGUACCGCAAACCAACACUGGUGCGCGAGAUGAGUAUUCUCAGGCGCUUGAGAGAACUCGGGAGAAGGAACUCGGCAAAUUGACACCGUAACUUCGGAAGAAGGUGUGCCUUGGUAGCUUGAGUGUGAACAACACAAGGGCAAAGAGGUUGCAAAGAAUAGGUGGCUGCGACUGUUUAUUAAAAACACAGCACUCUGCAAACACGAAAGUGGACGUAUAGGGUGUGACGCCUGCCCGGUGCCGGAAGGUUAAGUGAUGGGGUGCAAGCUCUUGAUCGAAGCCCCGGUAAACGGCGGCCGUAACUAUAACGGUCCUAAGGUAGCGAAAUUCCUUGUCGGGU
rnacentral:rRNA from 1 species